AACGAACGACAAUACAAUAACCUGAAUAUUUCCGUUAUUCAUGUAGCUUGAGAUUCUUUGAUCACAUUGCUAAAUUUCAUCAAUACAUCUGUAUGACAUUUUGCUCUUUUUCCCACCUGAAGACACACCAUAACUCAAGCCUAAGGAAAAAUGAAUACAAGGCUUCUAUCCAUUUCAAAAGGCAGCCGGGAGUUGGGAGAUUCAUCAUCAUUUCUCAAUUCACGGCAACAUCAAUUAACUUUGGUCGACAUCUUAGCAAUGAUAUGCAAAAAUAAUUUCCA
rnacentral:misc_RNA from 1 species